rnacentral:lncRNA from 10 species
CGGCGGGGGAAGAGAGAAAAGGAGGAGGGAGGGGGAAAAGGAGUUGACUUUUGCUGAUGGAGCCUCUCUGAAGGGCAAAUUCAAAGUACAGCUGGGUGCUGCAGCACUGGAGUGCGAACUUGUGGCUGUGGUUAUGAAGGAGCCUCGUCAGCUAUGCCUUUAGCCCCUGGUGAAGCAGUGCCAGUCACACUUUGCCAGUCAAACGGAGAGGCAGCAGUAGUAAGACCAGACCAAAUCAAACCAAACCAAGCAAACCACGGGGAAUGGAGGUCAUGUGAGCACACAGCAUAAAGGCAGCUGCCCACAAGCCAGGAAGAGAAGCAUCAUCAGAAACCGACCAUACUGGCUUCCUGAUCUCAGACUUUCAGCCUCCAGAAUGAGAUGGGGGUGUGAAAGGAAAUGAAAUCUUGGGACCCUAAACUCAUUAAGCCAAAGGGAAAAGCUGGGCCGAGAACUGGAUGAUGCAACCUGCUUCC